UCCAGGAGGCAAAAAUACGUAGGUUGGAGGUAGUAGUAAACCGUUGUUUUAUCGCAGUGCCAUGUUACCAUCGUGUACUACGGUCAACACAAC